AUGUAUCUGAUAUUCAAGGAAUAUGGUGAGAUCGACAAAGUCAUCAUACCACCAAGAAGGGAUAAGAGUGGAAAGAGGUGCGGGUUUGAAAGGUUAUUCAUUGUAACUGAUGAAAAAAUGAUAGCAAUCAGACUUGACAACAUCAUCAUUGGCUCACAAAAAAUCUACGCUGACAUACUGAGGUUUAGCCGAAACAAUAUGGGUGAUACAGGUGGAGGAAAGAUACAAACACACAAAAUCAACAAGCUCCUGGAGUGGAGGCGCGGUGUAAUAGGGUUAACAACUUGA